GCCUUCGUGGCUUAGUCGAGAAAACAACCGACUAUGGUGCGGUAAGGAUUCGGGUUCAAACCACGCUGAAGGCA